AGUGAACGCUGGCGGUAGGCCUAACACAUGCAAGUCGAACGGCAGCACAGUAAGAGCUUGCUCUUACGGGUGGCGAGUGGCGGACGGGUGAGGAAUACAUCGGAAUCUACUUUUUCUUGGGGGAUAACGUAGGGAAACUUACGCUAAUACCGCAUACGACCUACGGGUGAAAGCAGGGGAUCUUCGGACCUUGCGCGAUUGAAUGAGCCGAUGUCGGAUUAGCUAGUUGGCGGGGUAAAGGCCCACCAAAGCGACGAUCCGUAGCUGGUCUGAGAGGAUGAUCAGCCACACUGGAACUGAGACACGGUCCAGACUCCUACGGGAGGCAGCAGUGGGGAAUAUUGGACAAUGGGCGCAAGCCUGAUCCAGCCAUACCGCGUGGGUGAAGAAGGCCUUCGGGUUGUAAAGCCCUUUUGUUGGGAAAGAAAAGCAGCAGGUUAAUACCCCGCUGUUCGGACGGUACCCAAAGAAUAAGCACCGGCUAACUUCGUG
rnacentral:rRNA from 1 species